rnacentral:rRNA from 1 species
UGAGGAAUAUUGGUCAAUGGGCGGGAGCCUGAACCAGCCAAGCCGCGUGAGGGAUGAAGGCCCUAUGGGUCGUAAACCUCUUUUGUCAGGGAACAAAAGCGAGUAUGUAUACUAGUCUGAGUGUACCUGAAGAAAAAGCAUCGGCUAACUCCGUGCCAGCAGCCGCGGUAAUACGGAGGAUGCGAGCGUUAUCCGGAUUUAUUGGGUUUAAAGGAUGCGUAGGCGGCGAUGCAAGUCAGCGGUAAAAGCCCGGGGCUCAACCCCGGCGAGCCGUUGAAACUGCAGUGCUAGAGAAGGCGAGAGGUACGCGGAAUGCGCAGUGUAGCGGUGAAAUGCUUAGAUAUUGCGCAGAACUCCGAUUGCGAAGGCAGCGUACUGGCGCCUGACUGACGCUGAGGCACGAAAGCGUGGGGAUCGAACAGGAUUAGAUACC